rnacentral:rRNA from 1 species
GGUGAACGCUGGCGGCGUGGAUAAGGCAUGCAAGUCGAACGGGUUUAGACCCGUGGCAGACGAGGUAGUAACGCGUAGGUACGUACCCCAUAGUCAGGGAUAUACUGUCGAAAGACAGAGCAAUACCUGAUGGUCCCGAAAGGGUAAAGAUUUAUCGCUAUGGGAGCGACCUGCGUAAUAUCAGCUUGUUGGUAAGGUAAUGGCUUACCAAGGCUACGACGUUUAGGGGAGGUGAGAGCCUGACCCCCACCGAUGGAACUGAGACACGGCCCAU